GUGUCAGCCGCCGCGGUAACACGAACCGGACAAACGUUAUUCGGAAUUAUUGGGCUUAAAGGGUGCGUAGGCGGUGCGGUAAGUGCGGUGUGAAAGCCCUCGGCUCAACCGAGGAAUUGCGCUGCAUACUGCCGUGCUGGAGGGAGACAGAGGUAAGCGGAACUGAUGGUGGAGCGGUGAAAUGCGUUGAUAUCAUCAGGAACACCGGUGGCGAAAGCGGCUUACUGGGUCUUCUCUGACGCUGAGGCACGAAAGCUAGGGUAGCGAACGGGAUUAGAAACCCGGGUAGUCC
rnacentral:rRNA from 1 species